rnacentral:rRNA from 1 species
AUGGAUGGAUGGUGUAGGGGGAGGAGAGUGGUGGCGCGCGGUGGUGCUGGUGGUGAUGGUGAUGUGGUGGGAGCGCGAUGGCACGGGUGGAGGUGCUGUGGGGUUGUGGAGCAGGUGGAGGUGCUGGGUGGCGCGCCGCCACGCCGGCCUGGCCGCCGCGGCGGCCGGAGGUGGAAGAAGGAGGCGGGGGAAAGAGGGGAUGGAGAUGCCAGGCAUGAAAGGGGAUUAGCUGCCGCUAGGGAUUUUGACCCCUCCUCUGAUCUGCCACUUUGCAAUUUUGGCCCUUCUCCUUUUCUUCUUUCUUCAUAA